UGUUCUGACCCAUCACCCUUAUAGUGGGUACGAACCACGAACUGAGAAAAACAAAAGCAAGAAGACAGUGCUGCACUCAUCAUCAUCGGCAAGCCUAACGUGGCCACCGAAACGAUACCAGAGAGCAGCAGGGGGCAGCACUGCCAGUAAAGGAACACGAAGGAGCCUUGGCAGUGUGCAUUGGUCACGUCAACCAGGAGGUCAUCGUUCUCGGAAUUGCAAAGGCAGACUUCCAGGCCGAGGAUGAAGCGAUGUCAUGGGCGUCGCCGCAAAGCAGUGGUCCUUCUACACACGCUGCUGCCACCAGCUUCUAACCGCGGCGGUUGCCGAGCCUACACCGUUCUGUUCUCCUUCCGGAAGCGUGGUAACCUCCCGUCUGCCAGGAAACCUAAACGGCACAAGUUCCGCACCCUACGUCGGAGUGAAAGUUCAAGCUUUUCCCGGGGAACCGAUGGUUCAUGGAGCUACCGGUUUUCCAGGUGCCGGAAGCAAAUAGGCCGGCUGAACCAAACGACGGCGUUGGAUAACGGGUGCCGGUGGAGUGCCCGGGAAUUCCGUCUGUGUUCACUCUGGAAGGCUACCUGCAUUCGCCGGCCAGCCAUCCGGCCUGCUGCUGCUUGGCCUCACCACGACGUUGGUCGCCUGGAACCCGUCCUUGAAUGUGACAACGACGACAACCUUAACGAGGCGACAUUCAAGCGGCGAGCCGCAAGGCCGGGACACCCAGGCUGAUCGCGCGGA